GGUAGUACUCCCAUGAGCUGGCAACAAUGUUAUGAACACAUUUCAAGAUUGCCCUUUCAGAAUGUCCUCAGCCUAGCAUAGCCCUUGAGGGCUGGGAACUCCCGCCUGGGAAUUUUUCCAAUAUUCUGCCAGCUGUUUCUUUCAGUGGUUUUAUUAUUUUUCUGCCUGCUCCAGCUCCUCCUUUCGCUUUCAGUAUGGCAGCUCAGGCCCAAUGGUGCUGGAGGGGUGGGGACCAGGCAUCUGCUGAGGUAGGAGCUGUGGCCAUGGCCAGCUGUGCCAAGGGAAGGGAUGGGACGGAGGAAAUGGGAGUGGAAGAGAGGAAACGAGACCAGCGGCGGGGCAGCCUGUUGGUUUCUGGUGACUUUCACGUCAUUUGGCCCUGAGCAUACGGCUUUGUCUCCUGGCCCUGUCAAAAACGCACAUUUGCUGCUUGGGCGGGUGACACACUAACCCAGUAAUACCAAUCCACUUGUCAGGUGUGCUGGCUAUUGUCUAACAGAGCAGAGGCCAAGGAGAAGGGCACACAGAACAGCACCUGCCUGUCCCAGUGAGUCUUCACAAUGGGUCGCUUGGACAGCCAGCGUCUUGAGGGGACAUCCACUGGCCUCCAGCUUCAGAUAUUUGAAGAGCCACCAGCCGCUUCCCUACACAGGAGUGCCAAUGCCUGAAGGUGGCAGCUGGAGGGAGGCACCGGGAUGCCUCUCACCAGCACGUGAAGCUGUCCUCAGCGAGCAAGGAACCCUGCCUGUGGAUCCAGGAUGGGGCUGUGCUUGCCUGGCCCCUUUCUAAUAAAACUCUCCACUGGGCUCUAUAAGUAUCCAAAACACUUUCGCGUCAGGGAACUCCUUUGAUCCUUCCACAAACCUGUAAAGUGGGCUGAGCCAGGGUGUCAUUAUCUCCAUUUUACAGAUGGGGAAACUGAGGCCCUGAUUAAAAUGAUGGUUCAAAGUCACAUGCUAUUACCCAAGAUUUCUGUAGCCUGACCUCCUAGUCAUUCAAUGUAUUUGAAGUGAUAACAAUGUUCAUUGAACAUUAUUAUGGGCAGAUACAGGGUGUUUGUUCAGCCUUUGAAGCCCUCAUAGGUAGAUAGUCAUCUGCGUGUGGCAGAGCUGGGAUUUGAACCUGGGCUGUCCGACUUCAUAGCCAGGGCUUCUCCAAGUGUGGUCCCCAGACCAAGAGCAUCAGCUGGGAACUUGUAAGAAAUGUCUAUUCUCGGGCCCUGCCCCAGAACUACCGAAUGAGAAACUUGGGGGGUAGCUCGGCAGUCAGUAGUUUAACAUGCCCUCCAGGUAAGCCUGAUGCAUCUCAAAUUUGACAGUUGCUUCUAGUACAUUCUGUUAACUCCCUGGAUUUCAAUCCUGACUGCACAGCGUCACUUGGGAGCUUUAAUAAAUACCAAUGGUGGUGGGGCCCAGGCAUCGGUAUUUUUAGAAGCUCCUAUUCACGGUCUUUGAUGUGCAUCAGAGAGGUAAGCCCUGGAAAGCUUCGCAUUUUCCAGAAGGUUCUAGAGUACAACAGGGCAGCCUGUUUCAGAGAAUCCUGGAGGGAGUGAGGGGAGACUUGGAGUCCAGGAAGGAGAGAUCCUGGGGUUUCAGUCCCUCCUCCUCCAGCCUCCUCUGCGGGACCCAGGAAGCCUGAAGCCUUGGUGGGGCCCAGAUCGCAGUGGCUGUUUGUUUGUCUUGGACUUGG